UCCGGUGACCAUGCCGAGGGGGUCCCACCCGUUCCCAUUCCGAACACGGCAGUUAAGCCCCUCAGGGCCGAUGGUACUGUGCCAGAAAGGUACUGGAGAGUAGGACGUUGCCGGGA
rnacentral:rRNA from 1 species